rnacentral:rRNA from 1 species
GCAAGUCGAACGGCAGUAGAACCAGCAAUGGGGCUAUGAGAGUGGCGAACGGGUGCGUAACGCGUAUGCAACUUACCUCCAACUGGGGAAUAGCCCUGGGAAACCGGGAUUAACACCGCAUAAGAUGGUAGAACCGCAUGGUUCAGCCAUUAAAGUUUACGGUUGGAGAUGGGCAUGCGUGCCAUUAGCUAGUUGGCGGGGUAAUAGCCCACCAAGGCGACGAUGGCUAGGGGGUCUGAGAGGAUGAUCCCCCACACUGGUACUGAGAUACGGACCAGACUCCUACGGGAGGCAGCAGUAGGGAAUAUUGGUCAAUGGACGCAAGUCUGAACCAGCCAUGCCGCGUGCAGGAUGAAGGCGCUCUGCGUUGUAAACUGCUUUUGUACGGGAAGAAUAUAUCGUUUGCGAACGGUUUUGACGGUACCGUAAGAAUAAGGAUCGGCUAACUACGUGCCAGCAGCCGCGGUAAUACGUAGGAUCCAAGCGUUGUCCGGAUUUAUUGGGUUUAAAGGGUGCGCAGGCGGCCUGAUAAGUCAGUGGUGAAAGCCCGUUGCUUAACAACGGAACUGCCAUUGAUACUGUCGGGCUUGAGUACAGUUGAGGUUGGCGGAAUGUAUCAUGUAGCGGUGAA